AGAGUUUGAUCAUGGCUCAGGAUGAACGCUGGCGGUAUGCUUAAUACAUGCAAGUCGUACGAAGACUUUUAGUCUUAGUGGGCGGACGGGGUGAGUAACACGUNAGAAUCUCCCCUUACNANGAGGUAUAACAGCUGGAAACGGUUGCUAAUACUCCAUAUGCCGAGAGGUGAAAGGAUGUAUCUGCCUAAGGAGGAGGCUCGCGUCUUAUUAUCUAGUUGGNGGGGUAAUGGCCUACCAAGUUCGAC
rnacentral:rRNA from 1 species